GGUGAGGUGGCCGAGAGGCUGAAGGCGCUCCCCUGCUAAGGGAGUAUACCGUUUAUCCCGUAUCGAGGGUUCGAAUCCCUCCCUCACCGCCA
rnacentral:tRNA from 1 species